rnacentral:snoRNA from 9 species
AAUCCUACAAUGAUUAGCUUUUAUGUUGGAAUUACAGUCAGAUUCCAAACGACGAUAUAUUUGCGGCUUUCUAAGGUUUAAU